UUUUGCAUUAUUGAAUGGGUAUCACCGAGUUUGGUGCACAAGUGUUGUGAAUCAUAAGUGUUUCUGAAACCUAGGGCAGCUGACAAUUGUGUCCUAGAAGAUAACAAAUAAUUGAGACAAAUUCUGCUGUUGUAGCAAAACUACUAUUCUGUUUGUAGUUGUGCAAAUAUCUGAUAGAACGUCAUACCAUUAAUCCACCAGGCAAUACAAAUAUUUCUCCGUAACAUUAUUCUCUACCUACUUUUCUUACUAUUAAUUAUUAUUAUUAGCAGCUGCCUCUGCUUUGUAGCAGAGUUCUGAAUUUUCAAAAUUGAGAAGGUUGUCAAAAUAUGAGAAAAUUAUGAACUAUUCUAACUAAUUUAUCCUUAGAGAAGAGCCUGUCUGUUAUAUUUCCUCUGAUUUCAUGUUUAUCUUUUGUAACUCCAACUUCACUGCACAAAAUUCCACUGUUUUCACAGAAGGCGCAAGAGACAUAAUGAGAUGUUGUGAGAUGCAGUCACUAACCCUUCCACCUUGACCUACAGGGCAUGUUCUCCCCCAGCCUUUCCACUAGCAAGCCAACACAGAAAGGUUAGUCACAAUGAGAAUAAUGUAUUGCAAACAGUAAAAAAUGCAGAUCCAGCUGCUUGGAGAUGCCACACUUAUUAACAAAUCUAGAAUGAUGGGAAACAUAACACACAAACAAAUCUAAAAGAUUAAGUUUAACUACAUAAGCAUGAUGACAAAGUUUGGAUUUGGAAGAUUAAUCUUCUAAACAUCUAAAAGAGUUAAAGAAAGGAGGCAAUAAUCUUUGCAGUAAGGCUGCCAUCUUAAACUUAAAGGAGGAAUAAAACAAUUCAAUGUUAUACUAUAAUAAACAUUUGCUUACUUUUCCCUUUACAAUUGCUUUGCAACACAAUUUCAGUAUUUAGUUUAACUCAGUGGUUCCCCAACUUUUUUCCCUAUGGACCACUUGAAAAUUGCUGAAGUUCUUGGCAGACCACUUAUAUCAUUUUCCUGUCCAUUGUAGCAACUGUAAUUCCACAGAAUUCAAAUCAUAAUACAAUGAAAGGAAAUGAAUGAAUGAAUAAAUGCACAAUUCAAAUGAAUACAAAUAUUCAGUGUGAUGGAUGUGACGUCUCCCAUCUUCAACCACAAAUUCAUAUAUUUGCCACAGACUAUCUGAAUGAAGUUUGUGAUCUGCUGGUAUAGGAUGUGCAGCACACACUUUCAACAUAAAACACAUCAGCAGGGCACCAGAACUAUAUUUAACUUAGAUAAAAGUUCUGUUGAUGAGGGUAGAAUACACCCAAUACCAUUUCUAGAUAACUUAGGAAUGUAAGAAGUAUUCAAAAGUAUUCAAAGAAGCUAAAUAAAUCUAAAUAAAUAAAUAAAUCCACAGCCAAAACUGCCACAAAAUGACAAGUACCAACUAUGGUAUGGCAUCAACAUUUUACAUUCUGCCUUUUCCAGGAAAUUAGACUACCUGCGACUCCAAAUCUUACAUGCAAAGGCUCUUGUGCACUGUAAUGUUCUUGGAAAGGUCACUGAAUCUUACAGGAAGGCAAUGACUCACUGAUUCAGAAGAAAAUAGAAAAUAAAAAUGCUGGCGCUCUGCCAUAUUAAGUACAUCAUCUGCAUAGAUGGAAUGGAGGGAAUCAGAAAUCGCAAGUACCUAUGGACACUGAUAUGAAAUAAAAUAUUGAAAGAAAUACACAGAAGUCUUGGACAAAUGGCUUACUUUUAAAUAAAAUAAAAUGGAGAACUUAUUUAUUAACAAGGAAUCACACAACUUAUUUUUAUACACAAUGAAAUCCUGCGAGACCAAAGCAAGACAGAACACAUGUAUAUACUACCCGCACACAUACAUAAGCACGCAAACUCUCUUUUUUUCUGCGUAAAAAGUUACUGACAUGUACUUUGAAAUGUAUAAUUUAUUCAACUGAAGUUGGGAACACAAGUUUCAUUUAUGAUACUGUAAUAACAAUUACAUAUUAAAAUAUCACUAUCCUGUUUUUAAAGAA